rnacentral:rRNA from 1 species
GACAGAGGGUGCAAACGUUGUUCGGAAUUACUGGGCGUAAAGCGAGUGUAGGCGGUGUGGUAAGUCGGAUGUGAAAGCCCCGGGCUCAACCCGGGAAGUGCACUCGAUACUGCCACGCUAGAGUAUCGGAGAGGUUGGUGGAAUUCUCGGUGUAGAGGUGAAAUUCGUAGAUAUCGAGAGGAACACCGGUGGCGAAGGCGGCCAACUGGACGAAUACUGACGCUGAGGAGCGAAAGCGUGGGGAGCGAACAGG